AAGUCGUAACAAGGUUUCCGUAGGUGAACCUGCGGAAGGAUCAUUAACACGUAUCCACGUAUUCACCCUUUGUGCACUUGUUUUCAACCUUCUCCCUUCUUCUGUUCACAUGAGUUGCCUUUAGGAUUUAGCCUUGGAAGCUUCUGAAUCUUUUUGGAUUUGGGAGUGGAAGAGAUGGAAACCUCUCGGUUGAAUUGAAGUGACGUUUAGAAGAAGGCCCUCAGUGGGAUGUUUUUUCUUGCAAAAGAAGAAACAGCCUACGUUUUAAUUUACACACUUAUUUCACCUACCUUUUUUGCUAGUUGACUUUAUCUUGUUGGCUGCGAACAAAAUUAAUUUUUUGUUUUCUUUCAACACGUUUAUUUAUUUGAACGUUAAAAUACAACUCUUAGCAAUGGAUAUCUAGGUUCUC
rnacentral:misc_RNA from 1 species